rnacentral:lncRNA from 1 species
UCUAAGUCUCUUCACCAAGGAUGUGAUGUGAAGAUGAAAUGGAUGACUUAGGGAAGAAGAGAUUGCUAGCUAUUACUUCCUUAGGUGGCCGGCCUCUUUAGAGAGAAUGAGAGAAAAUGUUUCACCUCAUUUCACCAAGAAAAACCCUACAUGAAAAUAAAGCUAUAAAGUUGAAUUUAUACUUCAUCACAUGUGAGUGGCAAACUUGUAAUUAAUCCAAGUUUGACACUUCUCACCCUAAUGGCCGGCCAUAUCAAAUUGAUUGGGCUAAUUGCCCAUUUUGUUUUAGUUGUCAUACAACUUAAACAUAAUGGGCCUUGUGGACCAAAACGUUUUUGGGCCCCGAAACCUAAAACCAACAUAUAAGCCCAAUACGAACAUUUCGUAUAAUUAAUUAACUAAUUAAUUAACCUUGACCAUUCUUCAAUUAAACCAUUUAAUUGCUUAUCCAUUUCAUAUAAUUUCUUCACCAACAUCCUUUCUCGGUGUACGAUCCAUUAGGUUCCAUUUAACGAGGUAGUGGGCGAUUGUUACUCUUAACGAUCGAUUGUGAAUUGAAACCACAUUUCAAUUCUCCCUUAAAAUUUGUGUUUGCUAAUCUUUAGGGCUUUCACAAACCAUGAGUGACACCUAGCAGCAUAUCAUGGUUACCCAAGCUA